AGAGUUUGAUCAUGGCUCAGAUUGAACGCUGGCGGCAGGCCUAACACAUGCAAGUCGAGCGGUAGCACAGAGAGCUUGCUCUCGGGUGACGAGCGGCGGACGGGUGAGUAAUGUCUGGGAAACUGCCUGAUGGAGGGGGAUAACUACUGGAAACGGUAGCUAAUACCGCAUAAUGUCGCAAGACCAAAGUGGGGGACCUUCGGGCCUCAUGCCAUCAGAUGUGCCCAGAUGGGAUUAGCUUGUAGGUGGGGUAACGGCUCACCUAGGCGACGAUCCCUAGCUGGUCUGAGAGGAUGACCAGCCACACUGGAACUGAGACACGGUCCAGACUCCUACGGGAGGCAGCAGUGGGGAAUAUUGCACAAUGGGCGCAAGCCUGAUGCAGCCAUGCCGCGUGUGUGAAGAAGGCCUUCGGGUUGUAAAGCACUUUCAGCGGGGAGGAAGGCGAUAAGGUUAAUAACCUUGUCGAUUGACGUUACCCGCAGAAGAAGCACCGGCUAACUCCGUGCCAGCAGCCGCGGUAAUACGGAGGGUGCAAGCGUUAAUCGGAAUUACUGGGCGUAAAGCGCACGCAGGCGGUCUGUCAAGUCGGAUGUGAAAUCCCCGGGCUCAACCUGGGAACUGCAUUCGAAACUGGCAGGCUAGAGUCUUGUAGAGGGGGGUAGAAUUCCAGGUGUAGCGGUGAAAUGCGUAGAGAUCUGGAGGAAUACCGGUGGCGAAGGCGGCCCCCUGGACAAAGACUGACGCUCAGGUGCGAAAGCGUGGGGAGCAAACAGGAUUAGAUACCCUGGUAGUCCACGCCGUAAACGAUGUCGAUUUGGAGGUUGUGCCCUUGAGGCGUGGCUUCCGGAGCUAACGCGUUAAAUCGACCGCCUGGGGAGUACGGCCGCAAGGUUAAAACUCAAAUGAAUUGACGGGGGCCCGCACAAGCGGUGGAGCAUGUGGUUUAAUUCGAUGCAACGCGAAGAACCUUACCUGGUCUUGACAUCCACAGAACUUUGCAGAGAUGGUUUGGUGCCUUCGGGAACUGUGAGACAGGUGCUGCAUGGCUGUCGUCAGCUCGUGUUGUGAAAUGUUGGGUUAAGUCCCGCAACGAGCGCAACCCUUAUCCUUUGUUGCCAGCGGUUCGGCCGGGAACUCAAAGGAGACUGCCAGUGAUAAACUGGAGGAAGGUGGGGAUGACGUCAAGUCAUCAUGGCCCUUACGACCAGGGCUACACACGUGCUACAAUGGCAUAUACAAAGAGAAGCGACCUCGCGAGAGCAAGCGGACCUCAUAAAGUAUGUCGUAGUCCGGAUUGGAGUCUGCAACUCGACUCCAUGAAGUCGGAAUCGCUAGUAAUCGUAGAUCAGAAUGCUACGGUGAAUACGUUCCCGGGCCUUGUACACACCGCCCGUCACACCAUGGGAGUGGGUUGCAAAAGAAGUAGGUAGCUUAACCUUCGGGAGGGCGCUUACCACUUUGUGAUUCAUGACUGGGGUGAAGUCGUAACAAGGUAACCGUAGGGGAACCUGCGGUUGGAUCACCU
rnacentral:rRNA from 1 species